rnacentral:rRNA from 1 species
AGAACGAACGCUGGCGGCGUGGAUAAGACAUGCAAGUCGAGCGAUGAUCACGGGGUAGCAAUAUCUCGUGGUUGGAGCGGCGCAAGGGUGCGUAACACGUGGGUAAUUUGCCAUAAAGUUGGGGAUAACUUGCUGAAAGGCGAGCUAAUACCGAAUGUGGCCCGAUGGAGGCAUCUCUGUUUGGCUAAAGCUGGGGACCGCAAGGCCUGGCGCUUUUUGAUAAACCCGCGGCCUAUCAGCUAGUUGGCGGGGUAACGGCCCACCAAGGCUAAGACGGGUAGCUGGUCUGAGAGGACGACCAGCCACACUGGAACUGAGAGACGGUCCAGACACCUACGGGUGGCAGCAGUCGAGAAUUUUCACAAUGGGGG